rnacentral:lncRNA from 1 species
AAAUUAUGUUAUCUCUAAGAGAUAGAUUGAUAAAUUCCACUUAUACAUCUUUCUCCUUAAUAGACGUAAGUUUGUGCCAUUUCCUGAUGGCCAAUAUUAUAUGUGGUCUUAGCCACUUCUCUUUCCAAGCAGGUUAUGGAAUUUUUUUCAGAAGCAGCACGUCCUCCUACAAGUCCUCAUAGCAAUGUAUUGCUAAGAUGUUUCACUUUUUUGUUUUGUUUUAGAGAAAUUUGUGUCUAUGUGUUAAUGCAUAAAUAAGAGGAAAACCUGCAGAAAAAAAAAUAUUGCCUCAUUGGGCACUUUUUUAUUGUUUGUUUUCUGCUCUUACUCAGGUUUCUGAUCCAUAAGCAUUCUCGUGUUUAAAUUUAUAAAGAAUCCAAUCUGUAUCAUCUAGAUAUUUUUGAUGACGAUCCAAAGCGAGUAUACCUGUGCUAUAGACUUUUGUCGACUACAGCUUGGAUUUGGGGGGGUUUAGUUUUUUUUUUUGUUGUUUUUUUUUUUUUUUUCAUGAAAGUGUGGAAGGGCCACAUUGAAAGCCCGUUUCUUUCUUCAUGAGAAGGUGAUAACUGCCUAAAUGUUUCUUACUGUGAAACAAAGGGAACGUCUAGCUACCGUCAGGGUUUUCUCUGGCUUUCUGAGGAUGGGCCUUUGGCUGCUCUAUCAGUUCUCCCCGUUGUCUGUGAUUUGCAUGGUGGGCACAAUGAAGGGCCACAAUGCAAAUAAACAGCAAAAAAAUACAGGGCUUUGAAUAUUGGUAAAUGAACGCAAAAUAUGUACUUUUGAAAGAUACAGCUGGAAGAUCAGUAGAAUCAUUUUAUCCCAUAAGAUAAAAAUGGUGGAAGUGUUCUUUUAAUAAUCAAAUCCAUCGGAAUAAAUGGAAAAAGUGGAAUAUGUACAUAAUAUUCGUAUUAUGCCUGCAUUAUUGUGAAAUAGUUUUAAUUUUGAUACAGUAGUCGUGUUUCUAAUUGGAAGUUCUCAGAUGGCAAUUUUAUUGCCAGUUUAAUUGUCUUUAUCGUUGACUGUAUUUACAAAAAUAAUUCAAAUUAUUUUAGCCCCAAACAAUCAGAGGCAAGGCUGUAGUCUGCAUAUGUCUGAAGAUAGAUUGUGUAUGAGUCACCUAAAUCAAACAAGACUUUGCUGUAGUUUUUACUACAUGAUUAGCUAUAGUGUGAUUGCUUAAUAUGAUUUAGUCAAUGUGUGUCAAAUAACAAUAUAUCGGUAUGUGUGUGUUUUUAUAUAGAUCUAUAUAAACACACAAACAUUUGCUGUUUUGUUUACAUGCAUUACCAUUACUUUCAGAUUGCUUAAUCUGAUGGUGGGCCUAUUCAUUGAGAGUCUCUUUUAACCAAUCCAAGUGUGCCACCUCAAUGCCAACAGGGGAGGGCAGCCAAAUUACCACCUCGCAUAACCAGAAAUGACCUUUUGUUUGUUGAUACAAAUUGUAUCUUUUUUUUCUUGAUUGUAUUUAAAAUAAAACUGAGGAAAAUGUGUGUGUAAAUAUAUACAUAUGUUUAACAUAAAAAAUAUGACGUAAAUAAUGAUUGGGUAUUGUUAGAGCGACGCAUUUUCACUGCUAUGUGUGUGACACUAUGUGUCACUUUGUUGUAGCCCAAGGUGUGGACCCUCUUUUCUGCAAGAAGAUCCUGCAAGCUCCUUGUUUUGUAUAUUCUAGAAAAACACGAGUUGCAGGUCUAGCCAGCAGUGACAAGGUCAAAUAAAACUCCUUUAUGACUGGGCAAAGUAGUUUAUUAUGAAAUAUGGACCUUUUCAAGUUAACUUUAUAUAGAUAUAAAGAGCUGUAUAUAUAGCUCUGUAUAGCUAAUGUGCAGGACUGAAAGCAUUCUAUUUAUUUAACUAACUUUAUGUUCACAUUAAGAAUUAUUUAAAUGGACACUUGAUGUUAUUGAAGUGCUUGUAAAUUGUGCACUGCAAAAGCAUUAUUGAGGAUUUUAUGCCACUGAAAUGCUUACGUAGCAGUAUUUUUCAGAUGUUCAACAUGCCGUGAACCAUUCUGUGAGUGUGGGUUUUACAUGUUUUUUUUUUUUUUUAGAUAUUAUUUUGUUUUGUUGCAUGAUAAUUCUUGCUAAAUUACUGAAUUUCUGAUACUGUAUCUUUGUAUCUGCACUAAAGUAACAAAGCAAGGUCAGUGGGAGAGAUGUCAAAAGCCACUGGGCAGUAGACACCUUUGCUGCCUUUGCUGUAUUGGUCUUGAUUCUACUUUAAAGUAGUGAGUACUUUUUAAAAAGACUUAUUUAUGUAUCUAUGUAUUUUACCGCUUGUGAAGAGUAAGGACACUAGUUAUCAGAUUCAGAACUUGUUUGUAUUUCUUGAACUUUUAUUUUGCUGCUCUAUGUGAUUUAUUUAUAGCAUAGCUCACCCUUCACUGAACUGAAAUAUUCUAUAUUCAGGAGUAUUUUAAAAUAUUCUAUUGUAAAGCACAUAUUUUAUAUCUUUUUUUAUUGUUUGCAUAAUAAAAUACUUCUAAUUCUGCUUGUAGGCUCUGAUUGAAUUUUUUUUUAAUGUGUAAAUGUAGGUACUGUUUACCCUCAUGGGCUUCCUUUCCUGUUAGCACUGUCAAAAUCUCAACAGGCUUUGAGCUAACAAUAGGGUUACAUGGAGUGAAUUGUGAGAAAAAGGAGACUGUCUUAAGCCUGCAAGUAAAAUAAUAUUGUGAUUGUGCCUUUAGGAAGGAAGCAUACCCAUAAUGCUAAAUUGUGCCAACAUUUAUAUUUAAAACUCAACACAAUUGAAAGAAAAGAAAUAAAGCAUAAAAUAGAAUUUGGAGAAUAUUUUUAUGCAACAAAUAGAAGAUACACUUUAAUGGAAAUUAAACAGCAAACUGUCUAGUAUCACCGUUACAUUAACUAACACCACUAUUUGCUGAAUACUGGUAUAUUCCAUGUGUAAAUCACAUGGCUACAUUUUAUGGGAGCAGCCAUUUUGCUUUUUCUGGCAGAAUAAAGCAGAAAUAUUGUGAAUUCUAGUACCACAAGUUAAAGCUGUAAUAUUGCCAGGGUAUCUUAUCUGCGAGUUUAAUGAUCUCAACUGCUAACUGUUGAUGUGUUCUGCUGCUCCUUUGCUGCCAUUGAAACACCUAUCACUUAAUAAUAGGUUUGGGUUCCAAAGCUGCUUGUUAUACUAUUGGCUUUAGAACAGAGCUUAGAGGACCACAAAAGUCAUCCAGACCACUUCAGUUCAAUCAGUGGUCCUGUACUUUUAAAAACAUUGUCGUGUUGCAGAAAGAGCAAUGUUUACCUUGAAGAUUUAAAGACGCCUUUAGUGGUUGCCAUACUAACAGCCACUAGAGGAUUUUCCUCUGCACUGACCGAGUAAAACUCUGUUACACGAUGCAGAAGUUCAUAGAAAAACAUUGGAUUUAAUGUUUUCCUAAGACAAGCAUUGUAUGCACAUCAGGCUCCCAAUGCUCCUCUGUGAGGAGCGUUGGAUGGGACCAUUGCCAGAGGAAGCUAUGUAUCCUCAAUGACAUUGCGGGAAGCAUACAAAUGAGCAUGGCUGAGGGAGGGGAAGAAAGUGAGUAAAAGCUUUAUUUUAUACAUUUUUAUGGCAAAUGGGGAGGGGUGGCUGUAUAUAACUAGAGACAGGGGCACUGUAGUGUUGGGAAUACAGGUUUGGAUUACUAUUGUGAUAGUAAUACUAUUGUUAAAUUGUGACUUUCCAGCUACCAAUGGGUUAAAUUGACCAUCAUCCUGGUGUUUGAAGUUCAUAGAUGGAUAAUUACUUUUUACAUGCCAUGCUAUAGUAGUACUUUUUUCUCUACAGAUAUAUUUUACAAAAACCAGUCACAUUAUUAAUCUAUUCAAAUGUUGCAGUUUUCUUUUCCUUACACUGUAUAGUGUGACUCCAUUUAUUUUGUAUGCAGGUAGGAGUGCAUAAAUAGUUACACUGUAUAUGUAUAUAGAUUAUACCCUGCCUACUCUACAUUUAUAAUGGACUUUUUUCAGGAGGUAGUGGAGUAGAGAAUUAAUUUACAAUUUACUUCCUAAUUCAUUAUAAUCUAUAUAACCCAUUUAGCACCCAUACCCUUCAAUAUACUAAUAGGUGCAGUGGGUUAGGACACCAGUGCAAGAUUUAAUGCAUGUUUUCAGUAUUCAUGCUGGUUCUUCAGAGUAUAUAUACUGCUAAGAGAACCAGUCAUAUAGCCAAAUAUUUUGUUCCUAUGGAAAGUUGAUUUAAAAAAAAAAAAUGUACAUUUUACUAUUUGAUUUUUGUUUUGUAAUGUACGGUUAUAAGUGGUUGUCUUGACACCUGCAAAUCUCAAUGAAGAUCAUUUGCACCCUGUUUUGUAAUGUUAUCUAUUCAAUAUUCCUUAAAUUUUUUGAAGUUUCUUUCUGUUAAUUUAAUGGGCUAUUUUCUUUCUGUACUCCUUUUAUUAGAUAUCAUUGUUCUCUUUGUUAAUCAGAUUCAUGUGUAGUUUGUCAAAUUGCCACAAGAGCACUUCCUUCUAAACAAUCUACAACAUAGAAGUGACUUAUGGCGUGGAAUAUAACCUUUUCAAAAGUUGGUUGGUUUUUUUCUUCUUCUUCUCUUUCCUACUUAUGUACUGUAGUUUAGCACAUUGAUUCAAAUGUUGACAUUCCAUGUGCUGCAUACGGUAACUCAUUUCAUAUUCUUAAAGUCAGUUGCUGGUAGUCUCCUCAGAAUGUCGAAUCAUAUGUAUACCCAGAGAUUAAUAGUUGCAUGCUUUUGUCUGACUGUACCCAAACAAAAGCUAAGGGCCAUUCCACCUGUUUCAAGAGUGAACUCAAAGCUGAGUCCAAGUGAAUUCAGUGAAGACUCAAUUGGUGGGACCUCAGGACAGUGGCUUUACGGUGUGCAAACACAUCUUCAAGAUAUCAUGUUUCAUGAGGUGCUACAACCUGUAGCCUUGUGAACACACUCAUUGUGUGAAGAUUUUCCUACUAAAUAGCUAAGUCAGUCACAUCUUGGUUGUAGAACAUCGUAAAGUGACAUUGUUGAAGUGUUUACAGAGGAGUUAUUAACAUUACAUAGUCGUGGCAUACUUUAUUCACAGAAUGGUAGAAUGCACAAACACUACUGUUAAGUUUAAAUCCUAUGAAAAUAUAUUUUUGUUAAUUACGCAUUCUUUUCUAAAGCACUUUUUUUUAAUGGCCAACACCAAUGGAAUGUGAUUUCUGUUGUAUCUAUAGUAUUAUGAUUUGGCUGAAAUAUCCUUCCUGGAGUAAAGUUCCCGGAAUUUAGGCCUUUAUCAGAAUUCUAGUAGAACAGUGAUGUAUCAGUCUUAUUGAUUUUUUUUUAAUUUAUUUUUUUGAUUUUUUUAACUAUAAUGCUGAUUUUUAGAACUAUGCCGAUUUCAAGUUAUGGCAUUAAGAAAAUGGUCGCCGUCUUUAGAGAAGCGGCAUAGAAAAUCUUUUUCAGAUACAAUAUCAAAUGUGCCAGAAAAUGUUCUGAAUUUUAGCAGGCCAUUUGCAAAUAAGACCACCUAACAAUGUCAAGGCAUAUGCAGGUUCAAAAAAUGUUUCCUUCCUCUUGUACUUUUUCCCCCCACUUUUUGUUUGUUUUUUUGCUCUACUUUAUUUUGAAGAAUUGUAAUUUAAGAAAACAUCAUUCCAUUUUUCCUAUAUAGCUUUUCAGGCCAGCAAUGUCCUCCAUUUACUGGCAUGUUAUCAUAAUUUAGUGGUAGAGGGCCAAGGAUGGUUGAGUAGAAAAUAACGUAGGUAAAAAAUGGUCAGUAAAUAGACACAAUAACAAUGCUGCAGUCUCAUGACAACAGCAUCAUACCACUGGGGGAAACAAUGCAUGACAGUAGACCAAUGUACAGAAGUGUGUUCACCUGCCUGUGAUUGGGAGUUACAGGUCUAUAACACCUUGAAGGCAGGUCCCUCCAUGAACCUAGUUCCCACUAACUGUAAGUCUCCAUAGCAUUACUUCAACCCUACCCCCUCCAACUUAACCUUUGUAAUAUACGUUUUAUUUAAUUAUGUUUUAUUGUGUCACUAUGUAUCAUCCUUUGUUUUAUAUAUAUAUAUAUAAUUUUUAUUAUUUAUUUUUUUACUUUGUGACUUUUAUAUGUAUACAAGGUUGGACAUCAUGGUUUACAUCUUUACAUGGUAAAGUAAUUAACAAAUAGGUGAAAAUGUUGACUUAAUAUGAUGCCAUGGUGAUUUCUCCCCGUUUCAUCUUUGAAAUUGAGAAGGCUUCAUAGUGCAGUGUACAUCUGUGGCAUUCAGAAGGCAACUGAAAUUGGUCACUAUAUAUCCCUCUGCUUUUGAGAUAUUUUAUUAAAUUGUUGUGUGGAGCUGCAUAGUUAUGACUUUUCUGUUCCACUGUCAUAACUCUGUUUUUUAUUUCUUAGAAUGAAACGUUACUGCGUAAUUGUAUGUUACAUUUUAUACAACCUCUUUGGGUUUAUUUUGGUGAACCCAAAUAUUAUGUAAGUCUUAAUGACAAAAUACUUGGACGUUAAUAAAAAUAAAUAUAAUUUGUGGCGUGUUUGUAACUCAAUCAGUGUACUGGUUUUUAUUUCCCUUUUACCAGUUAAUGCAAAAGGAGUUUUUUUUGUUUGUUUUUUUACAAAAAUAUAAAAUGGAAUCAAGCAGGCUGCUGUUAUACAAUAUCUAUUACAU